UACGUAGGGUGCAAGCGUUGUCCGGAAUUAUUGGGCGUAAAGAGCUCGUAGGCGGUCUGUCGCGUCGGCUGUGAAAACCCGGAGCUCAACUCCGGGCCUGCAGUCGAUACGGGCAGACUGGAGUUCGGCAGGGGAGACUGGAAUUCCGGGUGUAGCGGUGGAAUGCGUAGAGAUCCGGAAGAACACCGGUGGCGAAGGCGGUCUGCUGGGCAGUUGCUGACACUGAGGCGCGACAGCGUGGGGAGCAAACAGG
rnacentral:rRNA from 1 species